rnacentral:lncRNA from 1 species
AUAUAGAAUACUCUACCUGGAUAACAUCCCUGACAGGAUAUAGAAUACACAAUGCAUCUGACACAGAUUUAACUACGUGGACAACAUUACUGACAGAGAUUUAAACCAGGUGGACAACACUGUGUCUGAUAUGGACAGGAGACACCAGCACUGCUCUGAUGACCUGCAGAGAAGAGAGGACACAAACAGACAGAGAUUUAAACCAGGUGGACAACACUGUGUCUGAUAUGGACAGGAGACACCAGCACUGCUCUGAUGACCUGCAGAGAAGAGAGGACACAAACAGACAGAGAUUUAAACCAGGUGGACAACACUGUGUCUGAUAUGGACAGGAGAAAGCAGCACUGCUCUGAUGACCUGCAGAGAGGACAGGAGACAAAGAGACAGAUGUACAGAAGACGUUACUUGAAUCGUCUUCCACAUACACGUGAAUAAUGUAUAGUCAUUUGUAAACCCACUGAUCUUGGUGCCCUUUGCUUAAUGUAUUCAACAUGACCCCGGGACAACUUACUCCUUCUAAGGCUGAGAAACAGGUGUGUGAAAAUAUAUGACAGAUAAUGACAACAAUACGACGGGGGGUUUCUGUAUGCAGACAUUGAAUAAUAUCAUGUUCUGUAUAGAUAUGACAACAAUACGACGGGGGUUUUCUGUAUGCAGACAUUGAAUAAUAUAAUGUUCUGUAUAGAUAUGACAACAAUACGACGGGGGUUUUCUGUAUGCAGACAUUGAAUAAUAUCAUGUUCUGUAUAGAUAUGACAACAAUACGACGGGGGUUUUCUGUAUGCAGAUAUUGAAUAAUAUCAUGUUCUGUAUAGAUAUGACAACAAUACGACGGGGGGUUUUCUGUAUGCAGACAUUGAAUAAUAUCGUGUUCUGUAUAGAUAUGACAACAAUACGACGGGGGUUUUCUGUAUGCAGACAUUGAAUAAUAUCGUGUUCUGUAUAGAUAUGACAACAAUACGACGGGGGUUUUCUGUAUGCAGACAUUGACUAAUAUAAUGUUCUGUAUAGAUAUGACAACAAUACGACGGGGGGUUUUCUGUAUGCAGACAUUGACUAAUAUAAUGUUCUGUAUAGAUAUGACAACAAUACGACGGGGGUUUUCUGUAUGCAGACAUUGAAUAAUAUCAUGUUCUGUAUAGAUAUGACAACAAUACGACGGGGGUUUUCUGUAUGCAGACAUUGAAUAAUAUCAUGUUCUGUAUAGAUAUGACAACAAUACGACGGGGGGUUUUCUGUAUGCAGACAUUGAAUAAUAUCAUGUUCUGUAUAGAUAUGACAACAAUACGACGGGGGUUUUCUGUAUGCAGACAUUGAAUAAUAUCAUGUUCUGUAUAGAUAUGACAACAAUACGACGGGGGUUUUCUGUAUGCAGACAUUGAAUAAUAUCAUGUUCUGUAUAGAUAUGACAACAAUACGACGGGGGUUUUCUGUAUGCAGACAUUGAAUAAUAUCAUGUUCUGUAUAGAUAUGACAACAAUACGACGGGGGUUUUCUGUAUGCAGACAUUGAAUAAUAUCAUGUUCUAUACCAAAACAUAUUCUUGAAAACAAGUACAGCAUGUAAACCAGAAAUAAAGGCAGAUCAUAGUUUUAAUUCUGUGUCAACAAACUGUUCUAAAAAUAUGUAUCUUGUUCUUCUCGGCUCUGUUGGCUGGUGGAGUUGCUUCAUUGUUAAAUCUAUAUUUUUUUUAAAGGUAUGAUAAAUAUAUAUAUAUAUGUUUUAUAUGAAAAAGGGAUUGGUUUAAAACUGGAGAUUUUAUUUGAUAGAUUUAUAACAUUCAAUUAUGUUUGUUUUUUUUUACAUUUCUUUUAUGUUGAUAAAAUGUUUUGCCUUGAUGAGAACAUGGCAGGCAGGUAGAGGGUGACUAAAAACAAAAUGGCUUCCUUUCAAAACAAUCCCGUUCCGUGUUCACGUGCUAAUCGGAACUUGGACAUUUCAGACAUGCUAACUGGUUGUGGUUACACACGCGCCCGCGUUCAACCAGUUAGAAAGUCUGAAUUUCCUAGUUCCGACUAGCAAGUGAACACGGCGUUAAACCCCCCCAUUUUCCGCGCAGGGAUAUGACAUCAUCAGUAUGAAUCUGCUGCAGGUGUUUUGACGAAUGUUUAUAUGUUGUUGUUUAAAAUAAAAAUUUUUUUUUUUUUUAUCAUUUAAAUGAUUGAUUGUUUUUAAAAAAAAUCAUUUAAAUGAUUGCUUGUUUUUUUAAAACAUUUAAAUUAUUAAUUAAAUAAUUUUUUUAAAAUCAUUUUAAAUGAUUGAUUGUUUUUUAAAUUUUUAUCAUUUUAAUGAUUGAUUGUUUGAUUUUUUAAAACAUUUAAAUUAUUAAUUUUUUUUUUAAAUUUUUAUCAUUUUAAAUGAUUGAUUGUUUUUUAAAUUUUUAUCAUUUUAAUGAUUGAUUGUUUGAUUUUUUAAAGCAUUUAAAUUAUUAUUUUUUUUAUUUUUUUUUAAUCAUUUUUAAUGAUUGAUUGUUAUUUAGUUUUUUAAUCAGAAUGCUGUAUCUCUGUUAAUUGAUUGAAGGCAUCUACCUCAGUGUCCGCAUCACGUUUCAUUUCCAACAGCAGCUGUGACCCCUGGGGUCGUGUUCCAAUGGAAGACAACAGGAAGGGGACUACCUUGAGUUCAACAAUAAGAAACACUCACCCCGUGUUAACUAUGUCACCCCGUGUUACCCCGUGUUAACUAUGUCACCCCGUGUUAACUAUGUCACACCGUGUCACCCCGUGUUAACUAUGUCACCCCAUAUCACCCCAUGUUAACUAUGUCACCCCGUGUUAACUAUGUCACCCUGUGUUAACUAUGGCACCCCAUGUCACCCCGUGUUAACUAUGGCACCCCGUGUCACCCGGUGUUAACUAUGUCACCCCAUGUCACCCCGUGUUAACUAUGCACCCCGUGUCAGGCCCAGUUAAAACAACCAGUAAUGCCCUAUUCGAUGCAGCAUUGUGAUAAACCCUACUGUCUCCCUGGACUGCAGUACAACAUCAACCCAGUACACCAUCAACCCAGUACACCAUCAACCCAGUACACCAUCAACCCAGUACACCAUCAACCCAGUACACCAUAUUAUACAGUGGUAUAGAUAUCACCAUAUUAUACAGGGAACUCAUCACCGUCGACCCAGUCAGAUGUACUGGUAUAGAUAUCACCGUCGACCCAGUCAGAUGUACUGGUAUAGAUAUCACCAUCGACCCAAUCAGAUGUACUGGUAUAGAUAUCACCGUCGACCCAGUCAGAUGUACUGGUAUAGAUAUCACCAUCGACCCAGUCAGAUGUACUGGUAUAGAUAUCACCGUCGACCCAGUCAGAUGUACUGGUAUAGAUAUCACCAUCGACCCAGUCAGAUGUACUGGUAUAGAUAUCACCAUCGACCCAGUCAGAUGUACUGGUAUAGAUAUCACCAUCGACCCAAUCAGAUGUACUGGUAUAGAUAUCACCGAUCGACCCAGUCAGAUGUACUGGUAUAGAUAUCACCGUCGACCCAGUCAGAUGUACUGGUAUAG